rnacentral:rRNA from 1 species
UACGUAGGCAGCAAGCGUUGUUCGGAGUUACUGGGCGUAAAGGGUGCGUAGGCGGUUGUUUAAGUUUGGUGUGAAAUCUCCCGGCUCAACCGGGAGGGUGCGCCGAAUACUGAGUGACUAGAGUGCGGGAGAGGAAAGUGGAAUUCCUGGUGUAGCGGUGAAAUGCGUAGAUAUCAGGAGGAACACCGGUGGUGUAGACGGCUUUCUGGACCGUAACUGACGCUGAGACACGAAAGCGUGGGUAGCAAACAGG